ensembl:lncRNA
GAAGUUCCUGGGUCAGGGAUGGAACCCAAGCCACAGCAGUGACCUGAGCUACAGCAGUGAUAGUACCAGAUCCUUAACCGCAAGGCCACCAUGGCAUACCUCCCUCUUCCACUUUUAACGACCCUUGUGAUUACAGUGGGUCCAUCCAGUUCAUCCAGGAUCAUCUUCCCACCUAAGGCCAGCUGAUUAACAACCUUAAUUCCCUUCUGCCACGUAACAUGACAUAGUCAUAGACUCAGGGGAUUAAGAUACAGACAUCUUUGGGAGAGGCCAUUAUUCUGCUGAGCAUAAAUAGUACGCUUCCUUCAUAAAGGGGACAGAUAAACCAAACCCAAAAGGUAGAUUUAUUUUUUUCUUUUUUAUGGCCGCACCUGUGGCAUACGGAAAUUCCCAGGCCAGGGGGCUGAACCGGAGUGGCAGCUGCCGACUGACACCACAGCUUGUGGCAACGCCAGAUCCUUAACCCGCUGAGCGAGGCCAGAGAUUAAACCCACAUCCUCGCGCUGUGUAGGGUUCUUAAUACGCUGAGCCACAACGGGAACUCCGCAGAAGGUAGAUUUAUUGCCUUAGAAAAUAUGUUGGGGAAUUGGUCUCUACCAAUGUAUACACUGGCUGACUGCAGAGAACUGCAGCCUCUUGCCUAGCACAAAGACCGGCACUAAUACACAGCUGUCACCUGGCCCAUCCCAGAAUCCAGGAAUAAAUUCUGACAUUGAAGAUGAUUUCAAAGACUGAAGAUCUGACAUUGGCCUCAACACCCCAACUCAACCUAAGGAGUGAACUUAUGACACAAACAUGAAACCGACUGCGCAAAACAACUGACUCUAUACUCUGGACAGCCCAGCUCUGUCCUGCAGUUGGAGGGGAAACCCUGACUUUCUAGGCCUCAGAAUGUCCCAGCUUUUCUCACACAGGCCCUCUAGGAAGUACUGUAAAACAUUUCCAGCUUUUCCAUGAGUAAUGUUUCACUUGAAACAGAAAUCCAAGUAGAACGACCUUCUGUUGCUAAAAACGUACCUGGCUCUGGAAAGCAAAAUUCAACGCAAUAGAAACAGACAACAACGAAACAGAAACCCUGAAGCCCUGGGAAGUCUGUUCUCCAGCAGCAAAGAAACACAAGAGCAUGGAUGACUCUCCCUGGAACCUCCCACUCUCAACUCAGUCCUCUGGAAACCCAACCUUGGCCUGAACCAUCUCAUACAAACGCGAGCAUACCAUGAAGUGGGGAUGGGGGCACCAUUCUGAGACCACCGGAAGGUGCUGUAGAAGUGAGAUAGAAGGUGAACCUAUAAAGGCACUUGCCCUUGGCCACUUUCUAAUGACUCAGGGACACUCACAGGAAGCCAACUCACAGGUCCCCCAAACCCUCAGGUCGGGAAGUUGACUCCUGUUACCAUGGCAACCACCCAGCCAGUCACUGUGGUCUAUUAGAAACACAGGCUUCACCCCCGACUCAACAGCAGUGAUUGGUCUAUGCUGAAGCAGCUGACUCCAACCCACUCCCUUUGGUGUAAACACCCAACGGGCACAGUAGCUUCCAAACCCUCUACAGGGGCUCAGGGGUGGACCCCUCGUCCUUCACCUGGCGGAUGUGUGUCCUUGAGCCCGUUACUUAAGCUUCCAGGUCUUUAUCCACAAGGCGGAGAAGACUCUGCCCUGUCCGACGCUGUCAGCCGAAAUGAGACGGAGCGUCUGAUACGCAGUGGCCCCUGAGUAUGCACGGUACCAUUUCCUUGCCAGAUGGCGCUCUGCCCAUUCGACCCGCCUUCUCUGCUCCUGUCACAUGAACCACAGCCCACCUCCUAUCAGGUCCUGCCUAAGAGGCCUUCUACCACCUCUGAGCAUUCCAGAGGCAGUGGGGACAAAGCACCCAGCGCAACUGGCAACGACACUCUCGAUAAACAACAGCCACGGUCACGUCCACAUGAUCUGUGCUCACACUGACACGUGUUUUCUAUGUUUCUAAGUGUCCCUUUUAUGAUCUCGACUGGAGCAUAAGCACAUUAAUUCUGGGUUGGCUCUUUUUUCCUGAUGGACCCCUGGUGGCGCUCAGGCCAGCACUCAAAGUCUCUAAGACUCCAGGACACGCAGGCUAGAGUGAGUUGAGGGUCGCCCAGUAAGGGGACGGCUAAGAGCCAGCACUGCUUCUAGAGUGAGAACCGGGGCAUCCUCUGGGACCCAGGGCAGCACUCCUCAGCCUCCUUCCCACCACAGCACACAGAGAACAUGCUACUGGCAAAGCACCCUGCCUUGUCUAGAUGUUUUCAGGGGGUGGUGGCCCCAGGUCUGGCCCAGGCACGCUGAGGGCAGAGGGGAUCAGCAUCUCAGCUUUUUCCAAACCCACGUGGGAGGUUGUGGCUGGAAGCCCUGAUGCUGCCAACACCGGAGCCAGGACUUGAACCCGGGGUCUGUGUGGCCACGAGCCCUGGGGUUUUCUCCCUGUUACUCCUGAAAGGUCUGCAGGCGAGGUCACCCUGGUCACCUCCUCUUCUUCAUGUUUAAAAAACAUCUGACUGAAAAUAUCAGCCCAUCCCAGCAGUGCUGACCUUUGAGCUGAAAGUUUGAGGGAGCAGCCACGAAGCAAGGAUUGUCAAGGCCCAGGCCCGGUAAGAGAAUCAAGACUCAGGGAGAUGGGUGGCGUGGCCUUUUACACAAUCCUCCUUUGCCGAGAAAUAAUCACUUGAGGGUCCUCUGCUUAGCGAGCCAGAGUGAUCCUUUUUUCCCUUUAGUGCUUCAAGGUUGUUUAGACUGACGGUGGACAACUGAGCCUGUUCCAGGGGUGUCCCUGACCUUGGAUCCCCACCAUGGAAAAGCCACAAGCCAGUGGAGGAGGCAAGAGGUUGGGAUUUGAACAAAUGUAGGUUCAGGAGAUUCCAGCUCCUUUACUGACUAGCUUAGCCUCUUUGGGUACCUGAUCUCUAUGCCUUAGUUUCCUCGGUUAUAAAUGGGAGUAAAGAUAACAGUAUUUCCGUUUUGGAUAUUGUGCAGACUAGAGAGAAAGCAUGGGAAAUACUUGGCCCAAGUCUGCAUUUAGUAUGUUCUCAAUAAAUGAUGGGUCUGAUCGUUAGGCAUCACUUACCUGACUGAGGACCAAUGCUUAGGUCCUUUCAUGGAACUUCUCUUUUUGUUUGUUUGUUUGUUUGUUUUUAUGGCCACGCCUGUGGCAUAUGGAAAUUUUCUGGGCUAAGGGUCGAAUUGGAGCUGCAGCUGACGGCCUACGCCAUAGCCACAGCAACCCCAGAUCUGAGCUGCAUCUGCAACUUGUGGCAAGCCCAGAUCCUUAACCCACUGAGCGAGGCCCGGGAUUGACACUGCAUCCUCACAGGAGUCCUUAACCUGCUGAGCCACAACAGGAACUCCUGGAAUUUCUCUUGUGAUGACACAAAAAAUAUUCUCUCUUGUAGACAAAGGACACCGAGAACCAGGAAAAUGUACACGGUUAUCACAUUAAGUAUAGCAGCACUGCCUGAAAGGAGCUGCAUAACUACCACCCAAUCCCAGCUGCUUUCCUCAAGAUGCCCUUAACAGAGGGCACUCCGCUCUGCUCUGGUUCUGAACACCAAUGAAAGAACCUCCCCUAAGCACCCAGGGCAGCCCCAGGGAUUCCCCCGGGUAAGGGGUGACCCAGGAGAACCUGGAGAGCUUCCUGGACGGAGCCUGGCCUUGAGCAAGUGUUCACGAAGCAACUGGGGAGCCGUGGACGCCCCUUACUCAGCCCCUCACCCCACCAUCAUGUCCUGCCCAUCUCACCUCUAAGAGAGCUCUUAAGGGAGUUCCUGUCGUGGCUCAGUGGCAAUGAACCCAACUAGUAUCUUCGAGGAUCCCUGGCCUUGCUCAGUGGGUUAAGGAUCUGGUGUUGCCGUGAGCUGUGGUGAGGUCACAGAUAGGGCUCAGAUCUGGCGUUGCUGUGGCUGUGGUGUAGGCUGGCAGCUGCAGUUCCAAUUGGACCUCUAGCCUGAGAACUUCCAUAUGCUGUGGGUGCAGCCCUAAAAAUACAAAAACAAAAAACAAAAAAAAAAA